CAUUCAUUAAAAUUGAUUCUCCCUCUGAGUCAGAUUAGUACUUGCUUUGUUCCUACUGAAACCAACAUUUUGGACUCAGCGACUUUUCUUUCACCUUGUCUUCAAGAACUUUGCGAGGAAACAGUUGCCUGCUCUGUGCCCAGCAUUCCGAUUCCACAAGACUGUGUGUGACACAUUGCUUACGUGCAUCUGUCCAAGUCAGGAUUAAAGCUGAGAUCUGAAACUCAUAUCACAGUUCAAAAUGUCAGGUUUCCCCAGAAGAGUGAAGAGUCAUGGUCUCGGAGAGAUGGACACAAGGGAGGCAGAGGACUAGGGCUCCUUCUCCCGAAGUCUUGAGUUUUAUUCCAACAACAGCCAAACUCUAUCUGGACAGGGUAAGUGUGGGAGCCUAAUGUGAAACCCAAGAAUGCACAAAAGCAGUUUUUAAAAAUUGUUGUGGAUAGAAGCCUAAAGAUUAUGAGAAAUUUUGCAUACAAGACUUUGCUGCAGACUGGCCCUCAGUCUGCCCGUUAUUCCAGAAAACUCAGCAGACCUGAUGAUUCCUACCUCCUUCACGACUUCCUUGAGGCAGCUGCUUCUCAGUGAUGUCACUAUGUGAGAAUCCAAGGGCAAAGAGGCUGCUAAGUGAGCUGGAGUCUUCUCCCUGGCACAGAGUCAGGUAAUUCAUCCUUGUCACAGGCAUGGAGACAAAGAGACCUGCUAAACUAGCAACUCCUUGUCUCACGUGGUGCUAGAAAAUAAAGAUAGAUAUGUUGAAGAAUGCAUCUGAGCAAAUGA